rnacentral:rRNA from 1 species
UACGGAGGGUCCAAGCGUUAUCCGGAAUCAUUGGGUUUAAAGGGUGCGUAGGCGGGAAAUUAAGUCAGUGGUGAAAUCCCACAGCUCAACUGUGGAAUUGCCAUUGAAACUGAUUUUCUUGAAUCUAUUUGGAGUGGGCGGAAUACAUCAUGUAGCGGUGAAAUGCUUAGAUAUGAUGUAGAACACCGAUCGCGAAGGCAGCUCACUAAACUAGAAUUGACGCUGAGGCACGAAAGCGUGGGGAGCAAAC